rnacentral:rRNA from 1 species
AUUGAACGCUGGCGGCAGGCCUAACACAUGCAAGUCGAGCGAGCGGCGGACGGGUGAGUAUUGUCUGGGUAACUGCCCGAUGGAGGGGGAUAACUACUGGAAACGGUAGCCAAUACCGCAUACCAUCACAUCUGCCCAGGUGGGUUUAGUUAUUAGGUUGGGUAACGUCUACCCUAGGCCUCGAUCCCUAGCUGGUCUGAGAGGUUGACCAGGCACACUAUGACUGGAACACGGACCAGGCUCCUACGAGAGGCGUCAUUGGGGAAUAUUGCAAAAUUGGCGAAGGCCUGAUGCAACCAUGCCGGUUGUAUGAAGAAGGCCUUCGGGUUGUAAAGUACUUUCAGCGGGGAGGCGUUACCCGGAGAAGAAGCACCGGCUAACUCCGUGCCAGCAGCCGCGGUAAUUC